GGUGUUACUUAAUUUCCAAGCAAGGUUCAGCACCCGGAGAACGCCCUUAAUCCCAAUUGGGAUAAGGAGUUGGAUCGGCCUUUUCCCGCCCAGACACUAGCCACGCCACACCUCAAGGAAUAAGCAGUGAUAAACAUUGACAAUAAGCGACAGCUUGACCCAGUAAAGUAAAAAGAGCCGGCUAAUCUGGUGCCAGCCGCCGCGUACACCACGUGGCUCAAAUGAUUUUAUCGGCGUAAAAGCGUGAUUAAAGUUCUCUUAAUUUGAGUAAAAACUAAGCGUGACACGCUUGUUAGAACCAAAACGAAAGUACCCAACACUUGAAUCACGACAGCUGAAACAAACUGGGAUUAGAUACCCCACUAUGCUAGCCGUAAACUUUAAUACAUCCAUCGCCGGGAACUACGAGCAAAGCUUAAAACCCAAAGGACUUGACGGUACCCCAACCACUAGAGGAGCCUGUCCUAUAACGAUAACCCCGUUAACCUCACCCCUUUAGCCUAUCAGCCUGUAUACCUCCGUCGUCAGCUUACCACGUGAGCGCAUCUUAUGAGCUUAAUGUCCACACGCCAAAACGUCAGGUCAAGGUGCAGCACAUAGGGGGGAAGAGAUGGGCUACACUCUCUAAUUUAAAUACCGAAUGACUAUUAUGAAAACUAGUCUAAAGCGGAUUUAGAAGUAAAAAGAAACCACAGUGUUCUUUUUACCCGGCACUGGGGUGUGUACACACCCCGUCACCCUCUUCAAGCCCAACAAGUCUAUAACUACCCUGUAAAGGCAAGUCUACGGUAA
rnacentral:ncRNA from 1 species